rnacentral:lncRNA from 1 species
GCUGCCCCCCCUCUCCUGUCUCGAGUGCCGCAAGAAAAGAAGUGACCAAGCGUUUACGCUGUCUUGAAUGCCAGUUCGCUGUGUUGCCAGAUUCUCGAACCUGCGGUGUAUCGACACCUCGGGCAGCCAGUCGGCGCGGCGCUUUCCAGACACACCCAUUCGCACCGCGACGCCUUCCUGGAAAAGCGAGGCGUCUGGAAGGAGGAGUUUCCGGUUCGGAGCUUCUGCGACGGCAAACGAGGCAAGGAAACAGAACUGAGACCAACGGAGCGAAGCGCGGGAACGCAGGACAGACUGAACAGCCGAAAAUGCCGACCAGACGACGCCAAUCUCGCUCAAGAAACGACCAAUUCACAGAUGGUCACUCGCGGGGAGAAACGCUACAACACUGCGGAAACUGGAACAACUUGCACAGGAGCAAAAGCGCCCUGGCAACUCUUGCCAAUAGUGCCAGGCUGCCAUCUGGAAUGUCCACGUCGCUAUUUGUGGCUUCUCAUCAAAUAUCGCUGUUCUGUUCAGCAGUCAAAACACUCCGUUGACGGCAAAUGCUCGCUGCAAUGAUGUGCCCAUUGGCGACAGCUCAAAGUUCUUGAGUUGGGGGUGCUUCUGUGCUCUACUGAGAAGGGUGUAACAAGAGAUCCCGGUCUACCCCGUGCAGUGGAGAAUACUGGGGUGUGUAGGAUUGUCAGAGACGAACAACAGCAGAUACAAAGAUCAGAGGCACGCUGCGUCGUCCCCAAGUUUAGUGUGAAGACCUAGUUCGAUGUUGAGCGCGGAAACGGGCAUUCCCAUUGGUCAACAGCGGGUACCGCUGAUAUCCAACGCUUGCUACAUUGUGUGCGGCUUAUCAAUCGAACAGACGUGUCAGGUCUCGGAUGUGUAUAUUGGCAGAGUCUUUACUCAUCAGGUUAAGCGAAGAAUCUUUUGUUUACAGCUGGUACCGUUACCUUUCGUAGAAACCCGAUAUAUUCGAUUACUCGGAGUGUUGACGGUGGUAUAAAAGCAAAGAGACGCUGUACGGUACGUGGGAUGUGUAGGGAGCCAUGGCGCAGAACAAAUGGUCGGAU